rnacentral:lncRNA from 1 species
UUACAGAAUAUUAAUAUCUCCACUUGUUUGAUCCUUGUCCACAAGAUAAUCUCACCUUGAGUCACAUAAAUGGGAAAUUGUGAAUAGACUGAUGAACUCCCAUUGGGUGGCGGUGGCCUGGUGGAUACCAGCUUCAUUUUUCAUAUAUAUAUAUAUAUUCCCUAAUUUAAAAAAAUUUCUAUAGCUCAAGUCAUUUUCCAUUUUUGUUAGUUUUGGAGUCUAGCGGCUGGUCGAGGAAGUGUUUAACAUUUUAGUCCAAAUUAUUAGUUGGAAAAUGCAUAUUAUUAAUUCAUUUACUUUAUACACCAUAUAUGUAAUAGCCCGUCAAAGAAG